UUUGCCAAUGAUGAUUUUUUCACAGCGCUUUGAUGCUAAUGAAACCAAAAACAUGCACUACCAUCUGAGGCAAA